AGGGUGUCUCUUAUCACUGCCAGUUAACAGCAGGAAUACUCAGAAGGCCAGAAAGCAGCCCCAAACAGUUCUGUACUCUAUAUAGGAAUAGGACUCGUCUGAACUC